UGUUGUGGGGGAAGCGAAGGGAGGUCCCGCAUGUCGUGUUAAAGUCAACUCUGACCUCCACCUCUGCCCCUCCCGCACUUUCACACGGGUGGGCGCACCCCCUCCCCGGCCCAUUGCCCGCGGGAUCCACAUGGGCGGGUGCGCCCUUGGACGGGGAAGAGCUGGAGCCGGGGCUGGUGGCCAAGGUGGCUGGUCCUCCCCUCCCCCUCGAUAAAUAAUUUUCACUCCAUCCAGAAAAGCUCUUUCCUGUCUGCUCUCAAUGCCCUCCUUAUUCCCCCGCCCGGUGACGGAAUCCCCGUCUGUUUCCCUCUGUUUAAUGCCGUUGCCGGGACCACGGUGGCCGCGCGCCAAGGCGUAGGGAGUUCCGGAGGCGGCGGCACAGCUCUGCGGCCAGCGCGCCCCCGGGUCCGCGGCGGGUCCUGCGGCCACCGCGCGGCCCCCGAGCUCCGUGCUGCGGCCGCGGCCCCUGCGCGCCCCUCCCGCCGGCCGGGCCUCCCGCUUCCUCUUGAGGGGUGGAUGCCACCUGACAGCACCCUUUACCCAGCGAGGAAGGAGCGCACGGCGGGACAGAGGUGCUUGGAAGCAGGUUUGAGGGCCUGGCACUGAGCCAGAGUGCAGAGCUUGGAAGACCCGGCAUCCCACCUUGUCUCAGUGCGGGUGGCCCAGAAGUCACCCCCACCCAGGACACCCUGGGAGCCUGGCUGGCAGCCCGGCAGUGGCACCUCUGCGCUGGACUGGGCUCUUACUUCCAGGCCAGUGUGGGCACCCCUGCAUCCCAUCUCAGCCUUUGUUAAGGACCCCGCUCCCAGGGGUGCGAGCCUGCAGCCGCUGGGCAGAGGCGCUCUCCUGCUGUGGGGGUGGGGAGCUUGUGGAGGAGAGCGAGUCCAGAGGCAGAUCCACGAGCAUUUGAGCACCUGCUCCCGUGGGACCUGAACGCCCUCCUGCGUCCCCCCCGGUGAGGGACUGCUGCCCUUGGUGCUUGGUCUGGUUGGAGUUGGGAAUCGCGGAUCAUCCAAGAGCCAUAGCUCGGGGACCUGGCCGGGGCCCCUUGUGCAUCUGUGAGGACAGGAGAGAUGGGCUUCGUAGGCAGAUGAAAAAUACACAAUUCUGUGACGAGGGCGGAGGAAGAAGGCGUUGAAGCUGCGUGAACCUGCCCCCAGGAUGUGCCUGCCACCGGGGUCUGGCCAGGCUCCUCACAUUUACCUUGACGCUCUUAGAAGCACAAGUAGUCUGAGUGGUCACGUGGUUCGGGCGGGUCUGGCUGCAUCAGCUACCGCACAGGUUUGGAGAUGCAUCGCCUGCCCUGAUCCCUUGAGGCCCAGCUCCCUGGGCCCUUCCCAUCAGCCUUCAGCUACCGCAGGCAAGUCCCCAGGAAGGCCCAGCAUCUGCUCGGUGGGCCUCUGCCUCCUCUGUUCCACACUUGCAGGACGAGAGGGCCUCUGGGGCAGUAUCCAUG